GUGAUCUCCUGACAACCACUAGCAUUGAAGAUUCUAGUUCAUCUGAUAAAACUGGCUCUCACUAGGAAAAAAAUUCUAUUAGCUCAGCCAGAUGCUUCAGGGUGGAACUAACCCCCGACAACAUUGCAGUUGCUAUGGUAUAUAUUGUUCAAGGUGUCUUAGGCCUUUCAGAUCUUGCUGUUAGCUUUUAUUUGAAAGAUGACUACUGCAGAGUGGCACCUCUUCUUUGGAUUGAGUACAAUGACUGACACAUCAUCUGUGGCUAACUAGACAGCUGUGAUAUCUGGUUUCUCAUCAUUGCCAUGGCUUGCAAAACCGUUAUAUGGAUUCAUUAGUGAUUCCUUCCCACUCGUUGGAUACCGGAGAAGGUCAUAUUUGGUACUAUCAGGACUUUUUGGAGCUCUCUCAUGGUUUUUGAUGGCCACUUUUGUAGACAGCAAGUAUGGUGCUGCUUUUUGCAUACUUAUUGGUUCUCUUUCUGUUUCUUUCUCAGCUGUCGUAAGUAAGUUCCUUUUGGUUCUAGUUGGUUUCAGUUAUUUGACUUGUGGUGUUAGGUUUGUUACCUAGUCACAAUAAUUCAAGCCUGCGUGCUACGUUAAUUAUCUAAACUGUUUUUGACUUGAUCAAGAGGUUGACAACAAUCUUCUUGGAAUUUGGACCUUCAGAAUUGGUGGACACGCUAAGAGAUUGUGAACUGAAAACCAACUUAUUAACAGCUCGGUCCCAUAAAAUUAAUUCUCUUUGUCCUGCAUCUAUUCCAAUGCAUUAUAUUCACAAGUUCUUGCUAGUUACACCUUAGCUUCACUUGGAUUGAAGCAACUGUAAAAGCCUUUUGAAAUUUUGAAGGAAGCCAGUCAGAUGGAUCCUUGGAAAAAAGGGCCAGAGCUAACGUCUGAGACUCUGAGGCAUUAUCUGAAGUUAAAGUCUAUCAAACAGCCGUGUCGAUAUCAAUGGAUAAGUAUGAUAAGUUUUCAAGAACUCAGAUAUUCAAUUAGAUGACCACCUCAUCAAAAGCUUUUACUAUUAGAGAGAGCACAGUUUUAUUUACUCAUGUAUGACUUCAAUACACCUUUAUAUGUGGUCCAGAUUUUUGUUUUCAUAGGCCAAAUGCAUGAAAUCUUUUUAACUUAAGGGUGGUUGUGAGACUUGAACUCCGGAUCUCUUCCUGCCUCGGUAACAAAUUCUGUUGUGUGACCAUCUUCUAAAAGCUUAAUUUGUCAGAUAGAACAAUCUUUUUUAUUUUUCUUUCGUUUUCAACAUUAUUGAAAGUCCAAAAAACUUAUUAAACUAAUACAACCAGAAAUUAUGUAUAAGAAUAGUCAAAAUCACAUCUAUAAUCAGUGUUUUGUACAAAAAGACCAUGUUUAACUCCUAUGGUAUAUCGAACAUGGUUUAGGUGGAGUGGAUUUUGUCCAACUUGUACAAGGAACACACACAACUAUCUAAAUGAAGUGUAUAAAACAGCAUGCACUUCACAAGCUGUCUCUCUCUAUAUGUGGGCUGUUAUCGUUUACACUCAGAAGAAGUAUGAAUGAGAAUGAUCAUAUUAGCUUGCGGUGUCUCUUUAUAUUUGGGUUGUUGCUGAUUUGAGUAGGCAAUGACCUGCUCAUGGUUUCCGAACCUAUAAUUUGCCUCGUUAAACCUUUUUAGACAGAGGUAACUAUUUGUACGAAAUGACUUCUCCAACCCUGACAAGUUAUCUGUUCCACUUUUAAUGCUGGAAUCAAAAUUUGGAUCGCUUAAAAUUAUGUGAUUUUUGUCGCUGAAAUGUUAUUGGCAUCUGUUAACAGGAACUCUUUCCUCUGAGAAACAUGGUAAUUCUUCAUUGUUGAAUGAUGAGAAUUUACAUCACAACCAUAAGAAUAUAGAAGGUUAUGAUGCUGCCGCUUCUUAUAUUCUAGAAGAAAAUGCAUAACAGCAUAGCUUAGAGUGAGAUUUUAUCAUAUUGACAUGGAAGAACUCACCACCAUGAAUUCUCAAUGCAAGAUAUGGAAGUAUAUAAGGUGGAUAAGCUAUUUAAUCUUUCUGAGUUAGAUUAUCAAUAACUGGGGGCUAACUGGUGUCACAAUCUAUUGUGCUACUCAUUGCCAGGGACCCAGCUCCUUCAUCAUCGUUCAUGUUUGUGUGGAGAUCUUGGCAAUAUUACAUACCGGGGUGUGUGGGAGGAGUAAAAUUCUUGAUCUUGAAUUUAGUUUACUGUUCAAAUGGAAUGAAAUUUAUCUUUUGUUUUGCUUGUAGUGUUCCUCGAGUUGUUUUCCAGCUGGUAUCUUCUUCUGUUCUCCUAUUUAUCCAGGAUAUAAAAUUGAGGUAUGAUGUUGGUUGUAGAUUCCAUGGUCGUUGAGCGGGCACGUGGUGAAUCCCAAAGCAUGUCAGGAUCUCUUCAGUCACUUUGCUGGGGUUCUUCAGCAUUGUUGAGAUCAUGUAAAUAAGCAAUGUAAAUAAAUUAGUUAGUUGUUGUAGUUAGUUACAAAAGUUACAAAUGUUAGUUAGAAAAUUGGUUACAAGUUAGUUAGAGAAAGAAUCUUAGUUAGUUAUUUUUCCUUCUCAUCAUCUUGUAUAUAUACCAACA